AUGUCAAGGCUACGGCAUUUUCUUAAAAAACUCUUGAACCUCUCCCAUGCCUCCGGAAAGCUCUCGGGAUCUUUUUGCUUGAAGGUGUGGACAUCAUUUCUGAUUU
rnacentral:snoRNA from 1 species